AGCAGUAGCCACGGUAAUACGGAGGAUGCGAGCGUUAUUCGGAAUCAUUGGGUUUAAAGGGUCUGUAGGCGGGCUAUUAAGUCAGGGGUGAAAGGUUUCAGCUUAACUGAGAAAUUGCCUUUGAUACUGGUAGUCUCGAAUAUCUGUGAAGUUCUUGGAAUGUGUAGUGUAGCGGUGAAAUGCUUAGAUAUUACACAGAACACCGAUUGCGAAGGCAGGGGACUAACAGACAAUUGACGCUGAGAGACGAAAGCGUGGGGAGCGAACAGGAUUAGAGACCCGUGUAGUCCCUGUCUCUUAUAC
rnacentral:rRNA from 1 species